ACCUCUCCCCCAAGUCCUCCUCCGCCUCCUCCUCUCUGCAUGCGCCUCAGAGCCCGUGCCAAGAACAAGCAGCAGUCCUGGACUCGAGGUCCAUAAAAAUCAGUCGACUGAAUGACACCAUCAAAUCUUUGAAACAACAGAAGAAACAAGUGGAACAUCAGCUGGAAGAAGAAAAGAAAGCAAACAAUGAGAAACAGAAAGCUGAAAGGGAGCUAGAGGGUCAAAUCCAGAGAUUGAACAGAGAGAAAAAGAAACUAAAUACGGACCUGUAUCACAUGAAACAUUCUCUCAGAUACUUUGAAGAAGAGUCCAAGGAUCUGGCCGGCCGCCUGCAACGUUCAUCGCAGCGUAUAGGAGAGUUAGAGUGGUCUCUCUGUGCUGUCGCCGCCACACAGAAGAAGAAGCCGGAUGGGUUCUCGAGCUGCAGUAAAGCACUUCUCAAGCGGCAGUUAGAGCAGUCCAUACGGGAGCAGAUACUGCUGAAAGGACACGUGACACAGUUGAAGGAGUCGCUUAAAGAAGUCCAGCUGGAGAGAGAUCAAUAUGCUGAACAAAUAAAAGGAGAGAGGGCCCAGUGGCAGCAGAGGAUGAGGAAAAUGUCGCAGGAGGUUUGCACAUUGAAGGAGGAGAAGAAGCAUGAUACGCAUCGGGUAGAGGAGCUGGAGAGGAGCUUGUCCAGACUCAAAAACCAGAUGGCUGAGCCACUGCCCCCGGAUGCCCCAGCAGUGUCCUCUGAGGUGGAGCUGCAAGACCUGAGGAAGGAGCUGGAGAGAGUGGCAGGAGAGCUCCAGGCUCAGGUGGAAAACAAUCAGUGCAUCAGUCUCCUGAACCGUGGGCAAAAGGAGAGGCUUCGCGAGCAGGAGGAGAGGCUUCAGGAGCAGCAGGAGAGGCUUCGGGAACAGGAGAAGAGGCUUCAGCAGCUGGCCGAGCCACAGAGCGACUUGAAGGAGCUGAAGAACGAGAACAAGAGCGCACUGCAGUUGGAGCAGCAAGUAAAGGAGCUGCAGGAGAAGCCGGGCCAGGUGACGGAGACGCUCACCUCGGCCGAGAAGGAGCCAGAGGCAGCAGUCCCAGCCUCAGGGACUGGGGGCGAGUCUAGCGGCCUUAUGGACCUCCUGGAGGAGAAGGCGGACCUGAGGGAGCAUGUGGACAAACUGGAACUUGGAUUCAUCCAGUACCGGAGAGAGAGAUGCCAUCAGAAAGUACAUCGCCUUCUAACAGAGCCAGGGGACAGUGCCAAAGAUGCGGCACCGGGAGGAGGCCAUCAUCAGGCUGGCCCAGGACGAGGAGGAGAGGAAGGUGACGCUGCUGGAGCUGCAGGAGAUGGUGUUGCGGCUUGUGGCAACUACAGCGAGGGGCACGGCAAAUUCCUGGCCGCUGCCCGGAACCCUGCUGCUGAACCCAGUCCAGGAGCCCCAGCCCCCCAGGAGCUCGGGGCUGCCAACGAGCGUGAUCUUUGUGAGGUGAGCCUCACCAACAGCGUGGAGCCUGCACAAGGAGAAGCCAGGGAGGGUUCUUCCCAGGACAAGCCUACUGCACAGCCAAUCGUGCAGCUCCUUGGUGAGAUGCAGAACCACCAGGAGCACCCAGGCUUGGGCAGCAACUGCUGUGUGCCAUGCUUUUGCUGGGCUUGGCUGCCGAGAAGGAGGAGAUAAACACCACCAUCAUCAAAGAGCUGCUCAAGAAAUUUUUAAAAACAAAACAAAGUUAUGGGGUUAAUCUCCUACAUGAUUCAUUUACUUCAUUUGAAUGUUAGAGCUACUCAUGAUUAUUUGUGUUUCUAAUUUAUAGUUUAAGUUUAUUUGUAAAAAGUUAAAAGAGAGUGGGUCUCUGUGGCUCUCACUGAUGUUCACUCUGGCAUCCUUUAGCAUUUUUCUUUUUUCAUUUCAUAAUUGUAGGUCAUUAGCAUGCAUAUCGAGUUUGCCCUUACGUGGUGGGAGUUCAAACACACAAAGACCCACUCUUUGCACAAAACUGUUCUCACUGGUUUGGAAUAGGCUCCCGUGCUUUUUUAAUGUUAUUGCAGCAUGUAUGUUCAUUACAGAAUUCAGAUAAAAUUUGCUAAUGUUCUGCUAUGAUGUUUGAUCUCAUCUUAAUCACAGUGAGCUCUUCAAUAGCUCAAUAUGCGGUUUGCCCUCAAGUGUACACUGUUUAUUACUUUGUAAUAUGCUACUAUGAGUACUGACAUUUAGAGCUGUUUAAAGGCCGAGAACUGGAAACAGCCUUUCCUCCAUUUUCUGUGUAUUGGUGAUGGGAGUGAUAACCUUUUGGGGGAGCUUUCUAAAUCUCACAGAAGAGGAAAGUGGCCUGCUCUGGCAGGUAUGUGCA
rnacentral:sRNA from 1 species